ACGCAACCCUCGCCUUUAGCUGCCAGCAUUCAGUUGGGGCGACUCUAGAGGGGACUGCCGGGUGGUCAAACCGGAGGAAGGUGGGGAUGACGUCAAGUCCUCAUGGCCUUUAUGUCUAGGGCUACACACGUACUACAAUGGCCGGUACAAAGGGCAGCCACUCAGCGAUGAGGCGCUAAUCCCAUAAAGCCGGUCUCAGUCCGGAUCGCAGUCUGCAACUCGACUGCGUGAAGUUGGAAUCGCUAGUAAUCGUAGAUCAGCAUGCUACGGUGAAUACGUUCCCGGGCCUU
rnacentral:rRNA from 1 species